GAAGUCAGCCAGACCGUCGCUGCCCGUCCGAAGGAAAGAUCCGGGUCGGGGAGAGGAAAGUCCGGGCUCCGCAGAGCGGGAUGCUGGGUAACGCCCAGACGCCAUUAAGUCGUCCGCGCGAGCGGCGAUGAAGGCGAGGAACAGGGCCACAGAGACGAGUCGCUCCCGCUUAGUUAACACUGAAGCGGGCGCGGGUGAAACGCGGCAACCUCCAUCCGGAGCAACACCAAGUAAGCGGACGAUGACGCUGCUCGCCGAGUCCGCGGGUAGGUGGCUCGAGCGCUGCGGCAACGCAGCGCCUAGAUGAAUGACGGCCACAGGGCGCGCGCUUUGCGCGUUUCCUGCAACAGAACCCGGCUUAUCGGCUGGCUUCGACU
rnacentral:RNase_P_RNA from 1 species